AAUCCACUUAAGCCCUGCUUAGUGUUGGGAGUCUACUGGAGCGGUGCUACCCGGGAGUUACCCUGUAGUUACCCUGUAGUUCCUUAAAGAUAACGGCGGAGUCGUGAUAUCCUCUGAGCUUAGUAAACUUACCUCUAGCUUUCGAGAAGAUCACUUCGCUUGCCGUAAAACACCCUUCUUUCUGAAUGG
rnacentral:misc_RNA from 1 species